GAUAAACGCUGGCGGCGUGCCUAACACAUGCAAGUCGAACGAUGAAGAUUAAAAGAUUUCUUCGGAAUGAACUUAAUUGGAUUAGUGGCGGACGGGUGAGUAACGCGUGAGUAACCUGCCUUGUACAAGGGGAUAGCCGUUGGAAACGACGAAUAAUACCCUAUGACAUCAAAUAAUCGCAUGAUAAUUUGCUCAAAGAUUUAUCGGUAUAAGAUGGACUCGCGUCUGAUUAGCUAGUUGGUAGAGUAAAAGCCUACCAAGGCAACGAUCAGUAGCCGGCUUGAGAGAGUGUACGGCCACAUUGGGACUGAGACACGGCCCAGACUCCGACGGGAGGCAGCAGUGGGGAAUUUUGCACAAUGGGGGAAACCCUGAUGCAGCGACGCCGCGUGAUUUAGAAGGCCUUCGGGUUGUAAAAAUCUUUUGUAUGGGAAGAAAAUGACAGUACCAUACGAAUAAGGACCGGCUAAUUACGUG
rnacentral:rRNA from 1 species